CCUACGGGAGGCAGCAGUGAGGAAUAUUGGUCAAUGGGCGGGAGCCUGAACCAGCCAAGCCGCGUGAGGGAAGAAGGUACAGCGUAUCGUAAACCUCUUUUGCCAGGGAACAAAGGCGGGGACUAGUCCCCGGAUGAGGGUACCUGAAGAAAAAGCAUCGGCUAACUCCGUGCCAGCAGCCGCGGUAAUACGGAGGAUGCGAGCGUUAUCCGGAUUUAUUGGGUUUAAAGGGUGCGCAGGCGGCGUGUUAAGUCAGCGGUAAAAGGUCGGGGCUCAACCCCGGCGAGCCGUUGAAACUGGCGGGCUGGAGUUGGAGAGAAGUACGCGGAAUGCGCGGUGUAGCGGUGAAAUGCUUAGAUAUCGCGAAGAACCCCGAUUGCGAAGGCAGCAUACCGGCUCCACACUGACGCUGAGGCACGAAAGCGUGGGUAUCGAACAGGAUUAGAUACCCCUGUAGUC
rnacentral:rRNA from 1 species